UGUAUCCUACGGGAGGCAGCAGUGAGGAAUAUUGGUCAAUGGCCGAGAGGCUGAACCAGCCAAGUCGCGUGAGGGAUGACGGCCCUACGGGUUGUAAACCUCUUUUGUCGGGGAGCAAGACCCGCCUCGUGCAGGCGGAGCGAGAGUACCCGAAGAAAAAGCAUCGGCUAACUCCGUGCCAGCAGCCGCGGUAAUACGGAGGAUGCGAGCGUUAUCCGGAUUUAUUGGGUUUAAAGGGUGCGCAGGCGGACCAUCAAGGCAGCGGUAAAAUCGGGGGGCCCAACCCCCUCCCGCCGU
rnacentral:rRNA from 1 species